GCCCCUCUUCUCCCCACCUCGCCCCCCUUCCCGCUCCGGUCCUCUUUGUCCCCGCUGCCUCGGAGCGCUCCUCUCUCCCCUCCUUUCCUCGGCCGAAGCGGCCGCCAGCCCUGCGUCCCGUGUGUCCCACCCUCCUCCUGCGCGACCACCGCUUCCCCGGGCCCCAGCUUCCCCAGGCCGUCUGCUCCCUUCCUGUCGCUUUCCUCCCCACGCCCCGCUUCCUUCCUUACGGGUGCCUGUGCCCGGGCCCCUCUCCUCGACCCCGCCUUGCCUUUCGAAUGUCCCCUGCGUGGACACACCUAACCCAGACGCCAACCUGCAAGAGUGUCUCCCGGUAGCCGGGAACCGGGACCCCAAGUUCACCUGUAGGAUUUCCCAGAAGGGGUGUUGGGGCCUGACCUUUCACAGAUAGCUCUUACAAGGAGCCAAAAGUCUGGAAAGCUAAGUUUUUCUUUGCAGACUCACAAUCCUCACCUUCUGCUCAUUCUGUUUUGCAUCUGGAGCAAUCUGAGCUUCAUUAAAGGACGAAGAAAAGUAUAAUCAAAGUUACAGAGACUAAACCUGAACUUGUAAUCAGACUUCGAGGAUCAGGAAUAUAAAUACGCUUCGCAGCGGAAACCCGCUAGCUGCAAGAAUGGGAAUUGCAAGUGGGCUGAUGUACUGCAUUCAGCUUUGGGCGGUGGAGCCUAGAAAAUGAAGCGAGAACUUUACCCCUAAGGCUCUCAGGAGUUAGGAAUGCGCAGUGACAAUCCCUAACUUCUGGCCAUUGUUUUGGAAAAGUCUUUCUCUUAAAUUUCCCUUCCCUGUUAGGAUGCAAAUGCUUUUGGGAAGGGAACAAUACUCAUCCGUCUGCAUUUUAUUAUUUGAUUUAGGAUGUAAGGUAAGCAAAAGAUCUGAGUUUAGAUUUUGAUUUGGGGGGAGGGGAAGAAUCCGGGUGAUGAGCUGAAGAUGUGUAUGUUGAGGCAUUUAGAAUGAGAAAAUCACUGGAACAGAAAAAGGGCAUCGGGGAAGGCUGCUGACUUGACGAUUUUGCCCAAUCUCCACGCCUUUGGCAGCUAGCUAUAUUUAUUUAUUUAUUUAUUUAUUUAUUUAAGUACCUACCAUGUGCCAGACAUGAUUUUAGGCACUUGUGAAUGAGAAAGAGGAUUCGAUUCCCAACAUGACACAUAUAGAAGUCCUCAAAGAGGACUAUGAAUUGAGCUCUUGGAACACAAAAUACACACGUACUCACAUGCACACGUGUAUACAUACCCUGAACCAUCCCAGUCACCUGGAGAUACUGACAUGGCACAGCCACUAGCUGCUGUUGAGAGAAGCAACAUGAGAAACAAACUCACAUACAGUGUGAAGGAUGCCAGCCUCUACAUCCCCAUGGUAUUUGUAUAAGAAGGUUCAAGGGACGAGGCAGUGCACACUGAUAGAUCAUUGCUGAAUCCCAAGAACCUCAGACCAUGCUUGGUACGUAGUUUGUUUGCAGGAAAUAUUCAUUAAAGAAAGGAAGUUUAGAAAGAACAUGGGAAGGAAGAAGGAAAAAAAAUCAGAAUGUUUUAAUAGUGUAAUUUAUUUGCAGGGAACCUUAAGGCAGGAUUUGAGAAGAGUGUAUCCAGGGCCUCUGAUGUGAAUUAGAACAAUCUACCUUGGGUGGGGUGGGGGCCUUUUGCACCCUGCUGUUGUAGACUCUUCGUAAAUAUUAAAACUAGGAUCCUAUGUGGUUUCCUUUAGAAAUGAUCUGAUUAUACUCUCCAUUGCUUUCGCACUAUCAUCUAAUUUUAAGGGUUCCAGUGGUUUUGAAGACUAUCCAUUAAAAACUUUAGAAUGAUGCUUUAAAAAAUUAAAUGCAAUUGUAGCUGUCAUGGUAUUUGUUAUCUUAAGGGUGUCACUGUUUUCAGUCUGUCAGCAGUCUUGUUUCUGAAAGCCAUAGACAAAGGUUUCCUUUAUACUGGAUUAGCCUUGAAUUUGAAGAAACUUCUCCAAGAACAUAUCUUAAAUAUGCUUUGAAUUUAUACUGAACAAUGCUAACAGUUAUUGACUUAGAAGGGCAGCAGAAGAAUCAAUUCUGCAGCCAAAAUGCAACUUCUGGGCAUAAGAAAAUUCCUUUAGGGUUUUGAGAUGAUUUGGAUCAAAAUUGUCCAUCUUCUUAUAAUGCUUGAUGUUUCUAAUUAAAUAGUUGAUGUCAUCCAAGAAUCCCUUAAAAAUGGGGAGAAAAUACACAAACUUUACGUUGUGGGAAAACUACCUUACAUCUUGACAGAAGCUGAAACCUUUCUCUACUUUAUCUGGUUUCAAAUUAUGCAAGAAAGUCCCCACGAGGACUUCAUUAAACCUGCCAGAGUUUUAUAACCAAAAACCUCACUGGAACCCCCACUUUUACAAAUCUAUGAAAGUAAUUUAACCCCUCCGUGUUCUGCUUGCCCAAGAUGAGACGCAAAUACUAUUAAACAGUAUAUACAGUUUAAUUCUCUUGAGUUUGGGUGAUGAAAAAUCCUAUCCAAAUAUUACGAUCCUUGCAAUAUGUAAUGUAACCAAAUUAUUGGUAGCUCCAAGUGGAAAUUAACAAGGCCAGGGCUACUCACGUUUCUUCUCAUCUAUUCUCAUAGUAACAGCUAAUGUAUUGCUAAAAUAUUGCUAAAUAUAUUUAUUGCUAUAUUGCUAAAAUAUCUUAUAUUCAGUUUUAUAUCUGAACUUGGUGUUGUGUCAUAAAUCGUAGCAUUCCUAUCCAGCCUGGAUUCUUAAUAUGUGUAUCCUCAUGAAAUUUAGGAGACUUUCAUAUCUGCGAAUCAACACUUCACAUGCAUAGUCUAAACCACAUGCAAAUAAAAGCAAGUCAGAACCUACCAAGACUCUCACCAUAGUGAACCUACACAUGGUAUAGAGGAAGAAUUCUUACCUGGGGGACCUGAUGACGCAUCACUAGUGCAGGACAUAAAACGAAUCACCAUAGAGAGAUCCACACAGGAAUUACAGUGUGAAAAAAAUCCCCAAGCAUAGCCAUUGUUUAGCUUCAGUUUUCAGUGAAUCUAAACUCUUCUGGUCUGAAGAUGUGAACUCUUUUGCUAUUUUUACUUUGGUCAAAAAAUACAGAAAUCCAAAAAAAUACAGAAAUCUGGGGAAAUGGGAGAAAAAUAAGCAAACUUUUCCUUCAUGAUAACAAAUAUAUAUUCAGUUGUGUACAUGAGGUUGUUUCUCAUAUUACUACAAACAAUUUUAGUCCUAUUGGUCUCUGUAUUACCAGGCACAAGAAGAGCUCUAGAAAACUAAUCAUUUUGUCAGUUGACUAUUACUUUUACUAAGAAUAGAUACACCCAAAGGUUCUGACAGAUAUAUAGUAAUUAUGGAACAGUAACCUCCAAGAUCCUGGUAGCAAAAUACUAUUAAGCCAAGAAUUCAUUACCACAAAUAUGAAAUGCAGCAAGUAUUUGCUUGUGACCUAAGUAGCUCUUCGGUAAAGCUAUCUUAGAAACCAAAAUACUCAACACAAUCAGGAGGUGUGCAAUUUUCACUGUAUUUAUACUUUGCCUUUAAAAAAAUUAUAUUCACAGAAAUCCUAAA